UGGCGCUCGAGCGACACGGUCACGCGGCCGCCGCGCGGCGUGAACUUGAACGCGUUCGACAGCAGGUUCGACAGCAUCUGCCGCAGCCGCUCGCCGUCGCCGGACACGAUGCACGUGGCGAGCGCGCAUUCGACCGACAGCGCGAUCCCGUCGGCCUGCGCGGCCGCGCCGAGCGCGCCCGUCACGUCGUUGACGAUGCGCACGAGAUCGACCGGCAUCGCAUCGAGCCGCAGCUUGCCCGUCGCGAGCGACGAUGCAUCGAGAAUGUCGCCGACCAUCCGCGACAGCGAGCGCGCGCUGCGGUCGAUCGCAUCGAUCGCCUGCUGCUGCAGCGCGCCGUCCACCGGAUUGCGCAGCACCUCGAUCCAGCCGUAGAUCACGUUCAGCGGCGUGCGCAGCUCGUGCGACACGGUGGCGAGCAGCUCGUCCUUCAGCCGGUUCGACGUGUCGGCCUGCCGGCGCGCGUCGCGCGCGCCGCGCAGCGAGCGGUGCACGCGGCGUUCGCGCCGGCGCUGCUCGCCCGUGUCGCGCAGCGUCAGCGACAGCGCGAUGCACGCGUCGCGCUCGUCGAACACGGGCGACGCCGACAUCGUCGCGCGCAUCCGCCCGCCGUCCUGCCGCACGCACAGCACGUCGACGUUCUCGAUCGGCUCGCGCAUGUCGGGCACCGAUUCGGGCAGCGGAUGAUUGCGCAGCCAGCGCGGCGCGAUCAGCAUCGCGACGUCGCACCCGCGCGCCGCGUGCUCGUCGUAGCCGAACAUCCGGCGCGCGGCCGGGUUCCAGCUCGUGAUGCGGCGAUUCGAGCCGACCCCGACGAUCGCGUCGGGCGAGGCCUCGACGAGCCGCCGCAGCAUCUGGCUGGCCGCCGAUCGCUCGCGCUCGAUGCUGAUGUCGCGCACGAUCAGCACCGCGCCCGUCAUGUCGCCCGCCGAAUCGACGAGCGGCGACGCGGCUUCGGCGAUCGGCACCCGCUGCCCGUCGUGCGGAGCAAGCCAGUGCCCUUCGACGCUCGCGCUCCUGCCGCUCCUCAGCACGUGCUCGAGCGCGGACGCGCGCACGCGCGCGCCGCGCCCGUCGUAGGCGCGGUACACGUCGCGAAACGGCAGACCGCGCACGGCCGUCGCAUCGCAGCCGAUCAGCGCGGCCGCGCUCGGGUUCAUGUACGUGAGCAUGCCGUGCCGGUCGCUGACGACGACGCCCUGCGUGAGCGACUGCAGCAGGGUCUCGUAGUAGUGGCGCGCCCCCGCCUCGCGGCGGCGCAACGCGUCGUUCGCGCGGCGCGAGCCCUUGAGCGCGACGACGAUCGCGCAGAUCGCGCAACUCACGACGGCGAACGUCGCGAGCUGCAUGAGCCGCCACGCGAGCGGCGCCGAAUACGCGGCCGGAUCGUUCAGGAACAGCAGCCACGCGAGCGCCGCGCUCGCGGCGGUCGCGGCGAUCCCCCCCGCGAGCGACGUCGCCCAGGCGGCCGCCGCGAUGAACGGAAAAUACGGCGCGAGCGGCAUGUCGGCGCCGCCGAAGCGCACGAGCGCCGCCUGCAGCAACGUACCGAUCGCGAUGAAGCCCGUCACCGCCGCGUAAUUUUUUGCGUGUCCUCGUACAAAAUUCGCCAUCACAUCCCCUCCUGCCGCCGCGUGGGCGCGCGGCGCGCGCGCGCAGCCGGACGCGCCGCGGCGGCACGGAAGUUGCGGCUCCGCACGGGCAAGCCGCGCAUCCGCGCACGCGGCACCGGGGAGGCUCGCGGACCAUGACAUCGACUCACCGCUGGCUCGUCAUCUCGCCGCAUCUGGACGACGGCGUGUUCGGCUGCGGCCAGUUGCUCGCGCAGUCGCCCGGCUCCGCCGUCGUCACGGUGUUCGCCGGCGUGCCGCCGCCGCGCACGCCCGCGCCGCCGUGGGACCGCCGCGCGGGCUUCGCGACGGGCGCCGACGCGAUGCGCGCGCGGCGCGCGGAAGAUGCCCGCGCGCUGCGCGUGCUCGACGCGACACCCGUCUGGCUCGAUUUUCUCGACGAUCAAUACGGCGCACCGGCCGCGCCCGACGACAUCGCCAAGCAGCUCGCCGCCACGCUCGACGCGCAUCCCGGCUUCGACGUCGCCGCGCCCGCCGGGCUGUUUCAUCGCGAUCAUCUCGCAACGAAUCGCGCGGCGCUCGCGGUCCUCGCGCGCGGCCCCCGCGCGCGUCGCUGGCUGUUCUACGAGGACGCGCUGUACCGCCGCGUCGACGACCUGAUGGCCAAGCGGCUCGCCGACUGGCGCCGGCAAGGCUGGAUCGCGCGGGUCGCCGCGCCGCUCGCGCACGCGCGCGCGGGCCGCGCGGCCAAAGCCGAGGCCGUGCGUGCGUACGCGAGCCAGGUUGCCCUCUUCGACGCUCAUGCGCUCGUCGACCUCCAUGUUUCCGAAACCUACUGGCGCCUCCAAUGCGAGACCUCAUCAGCGUAACGCCCGCGCGCGUCGACAUGCCGACGCGCGAGCCGCGCAUGACCGCGAUCGUGCUCACGCACCGCCGCGAAUCCGAGCUCGCGCGCACGCUCGCGCAGCUCGCGAAGCUGCCCGAGCAGCCCGCGAUCGUCGUCGUCGACAAUGCGUCGAACGACGGCACCGCGGCGAUGGUGCGGCGGCGCUUCCCGCGCGCGACGCUCGUGCGCGCGCCGCGCAAUCUCGGCGCGGCCGGACGCAACCUCGGCGCCGCGUGCGCGCGCACGCCGUACAUCGCGUUCUGCGACGACGACACGUGGUGGGAGUCCGGCUCGCUCACGCUCGCCGCGCAGCUCUUCGAACGCCAUCCGCGCAUCGGCGCGCUGACCGCGCGCGUGCUCGUCGGCAUCGAGCGCCGCGAGGACCCCACCUGCGCGCUGAUGCGCGCGAGCCCGCUCGAGCACGCGCCGCAGCAGCCGGGCCCGACGAUUCUCGGCCUGCUCGCCGGCGCGACCGCGUUCCGGCGCGGCGCGUUCUGCGCGGCGGGCGGCUAUCAUCCGCGCCUUUUCGUCGGCGGCGAGGAAACCUUGCUCGCG
rnacentral:rRNA from 1 species